rnacentral:rRNA from 1 species
GACGAACGCUGGCGGCGUGCUUAACACAUGCAAGUCGAACGGAAAGGCCCUGCUUUUGUGGGGUGCUCGAGUGGCGAACGGGUGAGUAACACGUGAGUAACCUGCCCUUGACUUUGGGAUAACUUCAGGAAACUGGGGCUAAUACCGGAUAGGAGCUCCUGCUGCAUGGUGGGGGUUGGAAAGUUUCGGCGGUUGGGGAUGGACUCGCGGCUUAUCAGCUUGUUGGUGGGGUAGUGGCUUACCAAGGCUUUGACGGGUAGCCGGCCUGAGAGGGUGACCGGCCACAUUGGGACUGAGAUACGGCCCAGACUCCUACGGGAGGCAGCAGUGGGGAAUAUUGCACAAUGGGCGGAAGCCUGAUGCAGCAACGCCGCGUGCGAGAUGACGGCCUUCGGGUUGUAAACCGCUUUCGCCUGUGACGAAGCGUGAGUGACGGUAAUGGGUAAAGAAGCACCGGCUAACUACGUGCCAGCAGCCGCGGUGAUACGUAGGGUGCGAGCGUUGUCCGGAUUUAUUGGGCGUAAAGGGCUCGUAGGUGGUUGAUCGCGUCGGAAGUGUAAUCUUGGGGCUUAACCCUGAGCGUGCUUUCGAUACGGGUUGACUUGAGGAAGGUAGGGGAGGAUGGAAUUCCUGGUGGAGCGGUGGAAUGCGCAGAUAUCAGGAGGAACACCAGUGGCGAAGGCGGUUCUCUGGGCCUUUCCUGACGCUGAGGAGCGAAAGCGUGGGGAGCGAACAGGCUUAGAUACCCUGGUAGUCCACGCUGUAAACGGUGGGUACUAGGUGUGGGGUCCAUUCCACGGGUUCCGUGCCGUAGCUAACGCUUUAAGUACCCCGCCUGGGGAGUACGGCCGCAAGGCUAAAACUCAAAGGAAUUGACGGGGCCCCGCACAAGCGGCGGAGCAUGCGGAUUAAUUCGAUGCAACGCGUAGAACCUUACCUGGGUUUGACAUGGAUCGGGAGUGCUCAGAGAUGGGUGUGCCUCUUUUGGGGUCGGUUCACAGGUGGUGCAUGGCUGUCGUCAGCUCGUGUCGUGAGAUGUUGGGUUAAGUCCCGCAACGAGCGCAACCCUUGUUCACUGUUGCCAGCACGUUAUGGUGGGGACUCAGUGGAGACCGCCGGGGUCAACUCGGAGGAAGGUGGGGAUGACGUCAAGUCAUCAUGCCCCUUAUGUCCAGGGCUUCACGCAUGCUACAAUGGCUGGUACAGAGAGUGGCGAGCCUGUGAGGGUGAGCGAAUCUCGGAAAGCCGGUCUCAGUUCGGAUUGGGGUCUGCAACUCGACCUCAUGAAGUCGGAGUCGCUAGUAAUCGCAGAUCAGCAACGCUGCGGUGAAUACGUUCCCGGG